ensembl:lncRNA
CCACGCUGCGUUUUGGUCCGCCUCUCCUUCAACAGAGGAAAGCCGUGACAGAAUCACCCACCAAAACAGGACCAAGUGGCAUGGUAACAGGCAACAGCAACAGCGAUGUCAGGAUUUCGGGACAUGGGAGCAGAAUCUGGACUACACAACUUGGGAGGAGAUAGACAGGUGGGUGGUCGACCCAGGGAGAGUGCCGGAGCCCGCCUGGGAUUCGAUGGAGCAGUGCGAGGAAGGUUACAGGAGAAUGAGAAGAAAGCCGUGACAGUGAAGAGCUCAUUGACAGUCAACGUUGCACCGUCAUAGGAUGCCACCCUUCCAACGAGUCAGUUCAUCAAAUUUCUGCACUGCUAUAGCUGCCCCGGUCAACUGUAAAUGCUGUUAUUGUGAAGUGGAAACGUCUAGGAGCAACAACUGCUCAGACCACCGAGUGCUGAAGAGCAACACUCACUACUGAGUUCCAACUGCCUCUGGAAGCAACGUCAGCACAAUAAUUGUCCGCCGGUAGCUUCAUGAAAUGGGUUUCCAUGGCCUAGCAGCCGCACACAAGUCUAAGAUCACCAUGCGCAAUGCUAUUGAACUCUGGAGCAGUGGAAAUGUGUUCUCUGGAGUGAUAAAUCACGCUUCACCAUCUGGCAGUCCGACGUACGAAUCUGGAUUUGGUGGAUGCCAGGAGAACGCUAACUGCCACAAUUCAUAAUGCAAUCUGUAAAGUUUGGUUGAGGAGAAAUAAUGGUCUGGGGCUGUUUUUCAUUAUUCGGGCUAGGCCCUAGUUCCAGUGAAUAGAAAUCUUAACGCUAAAGCAUACAAUUACAUUCUAGACGAUUCUGUGCAUCCAACUUUGGAGCAACAGUUUGGGGAAGGCCCCCUGUUUCAGCAUGACAAUGCCCCGUGCACAAAGCGCAGUAGAUCCAGAAAUUGUUUGUCGAGAUUGGUGUGGAAGAACUUGACUGGCCUGCACAGAGCCCGAACCUCAACCCCAUCAAACACUUUUGGGAUGAAUUGGAAUGCCGCCUGCGAGCCGGACCAAAUGGACCAACGUCAGUGCCCGACCUCGCUAAUGCUCUUGUGGCUGACUGGAAGCAAGUCUCCGCAGCAAUGUUUCAAUAUCUAGUGAAAAGCCUUCCCAGAAGAGU